rnacentral:rRNA from 1 species
UACGUAGGUGGCAAGCGUUGUCCGGAUUUACUGGGCGUAAAGAGCGCGCAGGCGGUCGGAUUAGUCGCGUGUGAAAGCCCCCGGCUCAACUGGGGAGGGUCACGCGAUACUGUUCGACUCGAAGGCAGGAGAGGGAAGUGGAAUUCCCAGUGUAGCGGUGAAAUGCGUAGAUAUUGGGAGGAACACCAGUGGCGAAGGCGGCUCACUGGACCGGAACUGACGCUGAGGCGCGAAAGCGUGGGGAGCAAACAGG